rnacentral:misc_RNA from 1 species
GCAAAAGCCAGUUGAGGCUCGUCAAAGCGUCACACUAUCGACUACAAAAAUUUACGAUUUUCACUUCCUUCUAUACUUUUUCACUUUACAAGAAAUAUAUUGACUUAAAAAGAGGGUAAGUUGAUAAUUUUGUUUUACAAAGUGUUAAAAUUAACAGCAUGGAAGAUUUCCUCAUCGAAUGAUUCUAUCAAUAAAUCAAUGAGAGGAUCAGAGAGUGCACAAUUUCGACCAGGCAAAAUUCUUUUUACUCGUUGCAGAUCGAUCGAUCGAGCGUCUCUCCUGUCUACUCGAAAAACGUUCUGAAAUGAUCUCAAGUUAGGCCUAUGAUCUACUAAGCGCCCAGAAUUGUUUUUGCAACAUGAAUUCUUCAGAACUUACUGUGACACAGGGACAAAGUCACGCUGUAGAAACUCCAAAGGACAAUGCAAGAGCGAGCGCCACCUAUGCAGCUAUUAUGAUGAUAGUCAUUGUAGCCUGCUCAAUACUUGUAACUGUUACCUUCAUAAUUGGCGCCUCAUAUGCUCAGCAUCGUUAUCAAUUGAGACAAAAAAAGAGACGAGCAACAUCGUAUGUUGCAAGAAAUAGAAGUGCAAGAGAUUUAAAAGACGAUUACUACAUUAAUAUAAAUAAUACAGCUGAGUUUCAACCACCAGACGAACCAGAAUCUCCAGUAAAAACUUCACCAAAACAAACAAAAAAAAUCCCAAAUUGGACAACUACAACUCCUAAUUGUGAAGUUUUCGAAAAAGAGAACGAGCGAAGGCCAAAUAUAACAAUGGCAUAUGACAAUCCGAUAUAUACAGGCAAUAAUUAUCCAUCGGAAAAGGACCAGGCUAUAAUUUUGAACGCUUUAAAUGUUCAAAUUAAAAAUCAUUGAUUAUAGGACUAUAUUCUGCAAACCUUCCUCACAAUAUGCAUUUUCUUCUUUUUUUUUUAAAUUUUUAUAAGAAAACAAUAACAAAUAUACAAAAAAACAAUAUUUUAAAGAGAAGAGCAAAGAAGCUGUACAGGAAAGUUAGUUUAUACAUGUAUAUAUUUUAAUAUAUGUAUAUAACUAUAAAUAUAUACAACACUUACAUAUUGAUAGAAUGAGAAUGCAUAAACAAUUUUAUGGACAAACUCUUUUUUAUAGCAUAAAAAAAAAUAAGGAAAAAAUAUGGAUAAUAAUAUAUUGUCUCUAUUGAGUAAAAAUACUGGGUUGAACGUGCUGCAGACUAUGGAUUUGUUGGAGCAGUUUGCGAUUUAUAAUCUCCAUUCUGCACUGUAUUUUUUAUGCACAAAAGAAAAAGGAAAGCUUCCGAAAUUUUUUUCCUCUUCUUCUUCUUCGUCUUCUUCUUCUUCUCCUGUUUCUUUUAUUUUUUCUUUAAGCAAAUCUAUAUCCAUUAUUCUUUUCUUUUCCUUUUUCUUUGUAUGAUAAGAGAUUAAAAUUUCAUUUUGUUUCUUUUCUUUUUAUUUAUUUGACUUUGUACUGUAAAUUGUAGGAUGAUACUGUAAACGACGGAAUUUUUUUCCAUGUUCUCUUUAUUACAUAAUAUGUUUAUAUUUACACAAUA